UUCCGCCGCAAUACCAUCACAAGCACAACAGAUCUCAUCUGAUUCCAGAAGCUAAGCAGAGUUGGCCUUGGUUGGAAAUUGGAUGGGAGGCUGUAAGCGGCCCCCAAGCAGCCCUAGGGA
rnacentral:rRNA from 1 species